GCACCUCGUCACCCUCACAACCUCACAGCAGACUGGAUUGGGGAAGAUGCCUGACACGGUGGAUGCAGUGGGUGGAUGCAGCAUCUAUCAGUUACCAGUUCUCUGAAGGCUGAGCUGGCUUUCUGGUGCCAUCUUGAAGGAGGAUGGAAUGUAGCUGAAAUCUAUGCCAGAGAGUAAAUGAAGUGGAAAACCUGUGCCUUCAGUCCUGGUGCACCUUGAAACAAAAAUGGAG
rnacentral:lncRNA from 1 species